UUUUUGACUUCUCAGACUGCAAAAGUAGAAUGAAAAGAAUUAAUUUUCUUCCUAAGCCUGUCCUCACACAUAAAGAGAUACAUAUAAUUUUCUUCCACCAAAUACUGAUAAAGACAUAAAGUACACUAAUAUCAGAUGGAGGCAUAUAGCCUAUCUGCCAAGUCACACCUCAUAUAGUGAAGAACUCUAUUACUUGGAGCAAAGAUAGAGUCUCAUCAGUUUAACAACCAAACCAAAAAACAUCAGUUUCACUGCUGCCACUGACUAGGAGAUUUCUUCUGAUGACUAUUGUCAAGUAAAGGAAUAUUAUCAAAUUGUAAAUUAUCAUGAUUAGAUUCAAUGAUUUCAUCAAUUUCUGAAAUUAACACUCAAGAUGGAUAGGCUACACAAACCUGCUCACCAACAAAAAUAAUUCCAGACUUGGGUGCAUCAGCCUGUAAUAAGGCGAGCAACGUUUGAUACCUCAGGUUUUUACUGCAUGUCUGUCAAGCAAUACAGCAUUAGCACAAUCUAAAUUUGAAUCAAUUGGGUACAAUGUUAUCUAUCUGUGAAAGGAUGCUACUCAGGAACAGGUAAACAUAAAGUCACAAGAAUGAGGAUAUUGUGAAAAUGGGCUUCCAGGAACAAACCAGGAAGCAGAAAGCUUAAUUGAUUAUCAUACAAACUUUUUCAUACCAAAAAUCUAUGUUGCAGGCGGGAUGGCAUGGGCUCAAUUGGAUUGACAUGGAUAUGAACUACAUCAUUCUUGGUCCAUUUCUGCUGUAUGCAGUCAUGCAGAAAUCGUCUGUGCUGAGGGAUGGAUGCACUGGCAAAAACAGUCCGACGGUUAUUGCAUGAUGAAUAUGAUGUCAAAAGCUUUCGCAGAGAACUGACUUGUUUUGAAGAGUUGAACAUGAAAUCCACCUCAUCAAUAACCAGCACCUGCAUUGCUUCAAGUUUAAAUAUAUGCUUUUCAAGCAUUUGGCACAAACUUGCUAUUGUUGCCACUACUAUUGUAGGGGGUUCUGCCUUUAGCCAACUCUUAUGUCUUCUCAACAUCCCUCCAUCGAGAAGAGCCAUGACGGUAAUAUCCAUGGGCUUCGCAGCCAACAUCCUAGCAACUUUCGUAACUUGCAUUCCAAGUUCCCGGGUAGGCACCACGAUGAGGGCUUGCACAGCAGAUCUUUGAGCAUUAAUAACUGAAUAUAUCAACAGUAGGUAAGCAAGCGUCUUCCCAGAACCUGUCUGAGCAUGAAUUAUACAAUCCCUGCCGCUGAAAAGAACAGGCAAAGCUUGCCUCUGUACAUCCGUCGGCACCACAUAUCCAACCUCCUCCAGCCUGCCCAAAACGUGCUCCGGUACGUGACCUUGGCAAAUUUCGCGAAGUGUUGAAUUAUCGUUCUUAUUUUUCGUGUUGGGUUCUUCUUGGCUUAUUAGGGGAGUGGAAGAGUUAAGAACAGCUUGUGAAGGCCUGAAGAAAUUGGAUGUACAGAAUAGAGCUCUGUUCUUGAAGUUAAACGAAGAGCAAAGAUUGGGAUCAGUGCAUUUUGAUGGGAGUAUAAAACGGUGUUGGUUUUGAUUAGGUUUGGAAAAGCAAAGAGUGUGUGACAGAGGGAAAAGCUGAGUAGCUGCUAUAGAAGAAGCCAUGGUGGCUGCUUCUGAGCUCACGCUUGCUUCUGAGCUCACGCUUG
rnacentral:misc_RNA from 1 species